rnacentral:rRNA from 1 species
UACGGAGGGUGCAAACGUUGCUCGGAAUCAUUGGGCGUAAAGCGCACGUAGGCGGCGCGUUAAGUCGGGUGUGAAAGCCCUGGGCUCAACCCAGGAAGUGCAUUCGAAACUGGCGCGCUUGAAUAUGGAAGAGGGUCGCGGAAUUCCCGGUGUAGAGGUGAAAUUCGUAGAUAUCGGGAGGAACACCAGUGGCGAAGGCGGUUCUCUGGGCAUGUCCUGACGCUGAGGAGCGAAAGUGUGGGGAGCGAACAGG